UCAAGAAAAGAAUAGCAUAAAGAAAAAAUUUGAGUGAAACCGAAGCGUAGCUAGACUUCCUUAUUUGUAUCUCCUCAUCUCAGCUGUAAGCAAGUGGCGUUUUCUGCAUUCGUCUAUUCGCGAGCGCUAGAAUACGAUAUUUUCUGAGGGCGUAUCUGCACUUACUCAUUAGCUACAACUCUUCGUCUACGAAACCAAGCAGAAUCGAAUUACGCAAGGGGCACUUGAAACUCUUUCAUCACCCGCACGUCUCCCAAACAGCGAUUUCCAACCAAUGAAGUCCAGUGAAAUAUGAAGAACGAAGAAUUCUCUGUUGCAGUGCUGCUAAUUGAGUGUCUGGUUCGGCAUUAAACCGUCAAAAGACGUGGUCAAAACAGUUAGUUCUGAAAACAACAUCCAGUGUAUUGAGGAAUUAUGGAGAAACAUCAACUUGACACUUGAUGGCGGCUCGAUUCUGAAGAGGUUUGUAGAGUUGAAAGAGAAAUUACUAGAGUUAUCUUCAUCUCGAACUGUAGAUGCUCAUGUUGGAAACUGAAGACUUUCAAGAUGCCUUUCAUGAACAGAAAGAAGAAAGAAAAAGGUAGGAAGUUUUAUUUUUUCUAUCAGUCUAAAUGUCUUAAAUGAUUGACCCGAUUUUAGAUGACCCUGUUUCCUUACGUGUUAACAUUGUUAAUGUGAACAAAGUUGUUGUACAAAAAAAAAAAAAAAAAAGGUGGCUAUAAUUUUCAUUUCGAUAUAUAUAUUUUCUAAACAGGUACUUCCAAUUACAAAGUUUCUUGAAAUACGAUAGAAGUCAAUAAAAAAAUAGCUUUUACAAUAGGGAUAGGAUGAAUCUGUAAAUACAAAACUAACAUUUUAUAUGGCUUCGAUAGAGUAAAACGUCCAUAAAGAUUUUUAUAGCAUAAAUUAAAUACGUAUUCCAGAACGAAUUUAUUGACUUAGAUCAAUGCUGCGAAGCAGUUUCAAUCAGAUUUUCAGGAAAUUUAUGGAAUCUGCUAAAGAAAGAAGGGCUUGAGCGAAUAUUUAUGCAGGAUAAUGUGGUAUUUGUUAUUUACUUUGACAUCUGACCUCAUCAAUCUAUUAACUAUCAACAUCCCUACGAAUUUGUACUUGUUGUUAAAGGUAGAUUAUUAACAUAUUAAUGUAUUGUAUUCAUUUUAAUACAUGUUUCUUUCACUACAGGUUGGAUACAAAAAUUAAG